AAACUCAAAUGAAUUGACGGGGACCCGCACAAGCAGCGGAGCAUGUGGUUUAAUUCGAAGCAACGCGAAGAACCUUACCAAGGUUUGACAUCCCCUUGACAGAAGCAGAGAUGUUUCCUCCCCUUCGGGGGCAAGGGAGACAGGUGGUGCAUGGUUGUCGUCAGCUCGUGUCGUGAGAUGUUGGGUUAAGUCCCGCAACGAGCGCAACCCUUAUCCUUAGUUGCCAGCAGGUUAAGCUGGGCACUCUAAGGAGACUGCCGGUGAUAAACCGGAGGAAGGUGGGGAUGACGUCAAAUCAUCAUGCCCCUUAUAUCUUGGGCUACACACGUGCUACAAUGGUCGGUACAAAGGGAAGCGAAAGAGUGAUCUGGAGCAAAUCUUCAUAAACCGAUCCCAGUUCGGAUUGUAGGCUGCAACUCGCCUACAUGAAGUUGGAGUUGCUAGUAAUCGCGAAUCAGAACGUCGCGGUGAAUGCGUUCCCGGGUCUUGUACACACCGCCCGUCACACCAUGGAAGUUGGUAAUACCCAAAGUCGCUGAGCUAACCGCAAGGGGGCAGGCGCCUAAGGUAGGAUUAAUGAC
rnacentral:rRNA from 1 species